GAUCCUGGCUCAGGAUGAACGCUAGCUACAGGCUUAACACAUGCAAGUCGAGGGGCAACAUGGUAUCAGCUUGCUGAUACCGAUGGCGACCGGCGCACGGGUGAGUAACGCGUAUGUAAUCUACCUGUAACAGAGGGAUAACCCGGAGAAAUCCGGACUAAUACCUCAUAGCACAUAUUAUUCGCAUGAAUUUUAUGUUAAAGAGACUCGGUUACAGAUGAACAUGCGUU
rnacentral:rRNA from 1 species